AAAAAAAAAAAAAAACUAAGAAAGAAGUAACCUGUCAUGACCUGAAUUGUGUAGAAAUGCCUUUGAUCAUUUAGCAAAAGUAAACAAAUGACAGUUUCACUUUUUAAUUCCGGUGUUCUUAAACAUUUAGUCUGCACCACUGACUGGAGUUUCAAGCACCACAUGACAGGGUUUAGAAAAAAACAACCACCUUUUACUUGUUAAUAGCUAAUUCAUUAAUCUUUGUGAAGUCAAAGUCCUGCAGGGUUUGUUUGUUUUUUUCUUACAAUAUUCUUGUACAUUAAAUCAUGAAUUCAUGUCAUUAAUCACCACAAACUGAAGCUGAUGUACAUUAAAACUUUUUGCUGAAUUUAAUGUCUUACAAUAUUUUGAAGUUUCUUUCCAUCCCUGUACUGGUUUAUGAAAAACUUUAGUUUCAAUGGUCUCAUUUAUAAAUAAAUAAAAUGUUCAAC